rnacentral:rRNA from 1 species
UACGGAGGAUGCAAGCGUUAUCCGGAAUUAUUGGGCGUAAAGCGUCCGCAGGUGGUUGAACAAGUCUGCUGUCAAAGCGCGGAGCUUAACUCCGUACAGGCGGUGGAAACUGUUGAACUGGAGUACGGUAGGGGUAGCGGGAAUUCCCAGUGUAGCGGUGAAAUGCGUAGAUAUUGGGAAGAACACCAGCGGCGAAAGCGCGCUACUGGGCCUGUACUGACACUGAGGGACGAAAGCUAGGGGAGCGAAAGGG